GGGGGCAUAGCUCUGUGGUAGAGUGUGUGUUUAGAAUGUACAAGGUACUGGGUUCAAUCCCCAGUAACUCCA
rnacentral:tRNA from 1 species